CCUACGGGGGGCAGCAGUGGGGGAUAUUGCACAAUGGGGGAAACCCUGAUGCAGCGACGCCGCGUGGGUGAAGAAGCGCCUCGGCGCGUAAAGCCCUGUCAGCAGGGAAGAAAAUGACGGUACCUGAAGAAGAAGACGCGGCUAACUACGUGCCAGCAGCCGCGGUAAUACGUAGGGGGAAAGCGUUAGCGGGAUUUACUGGGGGUAAAGGGAGCGCAGACGGCGAUGCAAGCCAGGAGCGAAAGCGCGGGGCCCAACCCCGGGACUGCUCUUGGAACUGCGAGGCUAGAGUGCGGGAGGGGCAAGCGGAAGUCCUGGUGUAGCGGUGAAAUGCGUAGAUAUCAGGAGGAACACCGGUGGCGAAGGCGGCCUGCUGGACUGCAACUGACGUUGAGGCACGAAAGCGUGGGGAGCAAACAGGAUUAGAUACCCCGGUAGUC
rnacentral:rRNA from 1 species